rnacentral:rRNA from 1 species
UACGUAGGGGGCAAGCGUUGUCCGGAAUCAUUGGGCGUAAAGCGCGCGUAGGCGGUUAGGUAGGUCCGUUGUGAAAACUCGAGGCUCAACCUCGAGACGCCGAUGGAAACCAUCUGACUAGAGUCCGGAAGAGGAGAGUGGAAUUCCUGGUGUAGCGGUGAAAUGCGCAGAUAUCAGGAAGAACACCCGUGGCUAAGGCGGCUCUCUAGUACGGUACUGACGCUGAGACGCGAAAGCGUGGGGAGCGAACAGG